GGGCUCGUAGCUCAGCUGGAAGAGUGCUGCCUUUGCGAGGCAGAUGCCACGGGUUCAAAUCCCGUCGGGUCCAC
rnacentral:tRNA from 2 species